UUGUUGGAACACCAUAUUGGAUGGCCCCAGAGGUGAUUGAAAUGUCAGGGGUAUGCGCUGCUUCUGACAUUUGGAGUGUUGGCUGCACUGUAAUUGAACUCCUUACAUGUGUGCCUCCUUAUUAUGAUCUACAGCCUAUGCCAGCUCUCUAUCGGAUUGUGCAGGAUGAACAUCCACCAAUACCUGACAGCCUAUCUCCAGACAUUACCGACUUCCUGCGCCAAUGCUUUAAGAAGGCGAGUGGAAGAA